GGGGUUGUGGCUCAGUGAUAGAGUACUUGCCUAGCAUGCAUGAAGCACUGGGUUCAAUCCCCGGCACCA
rnacentral:tRNA from 1 species